CGCCCAGCUCGGGCGAGGGAGGAGCUUGCGCCACCAUUGGAAAAUCUCGGAGGACGAGGAGGCGUUGCGCAGGGAGCCCAUCUGGGGAAGCUGGAAAAUGAGAGACUUCGAUCACUUGGUGGCUGCGGUCUGUUUCACUCUGACAUUCAACAAUAUUGUUGCUCUGUGGCCUGUAAAGGGCUGAACUCCUGGGAAGUGUUGGUGUGGCUACCUGUUCCUUGAGCCCCUACUCCAUCUGGUUCUGCUGUCUUCACCGUGAGACCUAUUAGUGGCCAGAAAAGCAAAUCAUGCACAAUACAGAAUCAGGCCACCCAAGUCUCAGUGACCACCAACACAUGCACGUAUACUGCCACCCACCAGGGCCCGGCUCCUAGGAGCCUGCUACUUCCACCCAUGUUCAAUUGUUCUCCACGUAGAGAUAGGCAGGGGCACCUGGCUUAACUCUGAAGCUCCGUGGUACAUAAGUAAAGGCUCUCUGUCUCUCCCCUUCCUUCUCUAGGGCAAUUGUGGGUGGGUGUGAAUCUCUCUUAUGUGGAUCCUUCUGUGCCUGAUGUAAAAUGCAGGAGGAUGGAAUGAGCUGUGUUGUCAAGAGGGCAGAUUCAGAGAACCACUUCCCUCCGGGCACACUUGGAUUGGCUUCCUGAAUUUCACCUGUUCAUGUGCCAUUCUCAUGAGUUACCUUACAUCCAUCUACAGUCUGCUCCAUUAUGCACUUAGUAAAUUUUACCUUAGAUUUUUACUUGGCUUCAUCGUAAGCAAUAAUAUCUAUGAAAUUAUUGGUUUGUGAGAUACCAGUUGUAUUUAAUAUUUUAAUGCACAAUGAAAUGAAGGCAUAAGUCUUCCAUGCUAAAAUCAUUCUGAAUAUCACUGGUUGUUCUCACAACUCACUUUUUGAAACACUAAGGUGUAU
rnacentral:lncRNA from 1 species